CAGUAGCCACGGUAAUACGUAGGUCCCGAGCGUUGUCCGGAUUUAUUGGGCGUAAAGCGAGCGCAGGCGGUUAGAUAAGUCUGAAGUUAAAGGCUGUGGCUUAACCAUAGUACGCUUUGGAAACUGUUUAACUUGAGUGCAAGAGGGGAGAGUGGAAUUCCAUGUGUAGCGGUGAAAUGCGUAGAUAUAUGGAGGAACACCGGUGGCGAAAGCGGCUCUCUGGCUUGUAACUGACGCUGAGGCUCGAAAGCGUGGGGAGCAAACGGGAUUAGAUACCCCGGUAGUCCCUGUCUCUUAUCCU
rnacentral:rRNA from 1 species